rnacentral:sRNA from 1 species
UCCGAAGUUCCAGGCUGAGGGCUUGAC